GACGAACGCUGGCGGCGUGCUUAACACAUGCGAGUCGAACGGAAAGGCCCUGCUUUUGUGGGGUGCUCGAGUGGCGAACGGGUGAGUAACACGUGAGUAACCUGCCCUUGACUUUAGGAUAACUUCAGGAAACUGGGGCUAAUACCGGAUAGGAGCUCCUGCUGCAUGGUGGGGGUUGGAAAGUUUCGGCGGUUGGGGAUGGACUCGCGGCUUAUCAGCUUGUUGGUGGGGUAGUGGCUUACCAAGGCUUUGACGGGUAGCCGGCCUGAGAGGGUGACCGGCCACAUUGGGACUGAGAUACGGCCCAGACUCCUACGGGAGGCAGCAGUGGGGAAUAUUGCACAAUGGGCGGAAGCCUGAUGCAGCAACGCCGCGUGCGGGAUGACAGCCUUCGGGUUGUAAACCGCUUUCGCCUGUGACGAAGCGUGAGUGACGGUAAUGGGUAAAGAAGCACCGGCUAACUACGUG
rnacentral:rRNA from 1 species